rnacentral:tRNA from 1 species
GAUUAGCUCAGCGGUAGAGUAGUCGGCUGUUAACCGAUUGGUCGUUGGUUCGAAUCCAACA